AUUGAACGCUGGCGGCAGGCCUAACACAUGCAAGUCGAGCGAGUGGCGGACGGGUGAGUAAUGCCUGGGAAACUGCCUGAUGGAGGGGGAUAACUACUGGAAACGGUAGCUAAUACCGCAUACCAUCAGAUGUGCCCAGAUGGGAUGAGCUAGUAGGUGGGGUAACGGCUCACCUAGGCGACGAUCCCUAGCUGGUCUGCGAGGAUGACCAGCCACAGUGGAACGGGACAAGGGUCAGGAUUCCAACGGGAGCAAGAGGUGGGAAAUUUUGGACAUGGGGCGCAAGCCGACUGCAGCCCUGCGGCGGGUGUAAGGAGGGCCUUGGGUUUGUAAAGCCCUUUCAUCGGGAAGACGUUACCCACAGAAGAAGCACCGGCUAACUCCGUGCCAGCAGCCGCGGUAAUAC
rnacentral:rRNA from 1 species